rnacentral:rRNA from 1 species
UCAUACCAGCGCUACUACACCGGAUCCCAUCAGAAGUUAAGCGCCCUUGGGCCGGAUCAGUACUGGGAUGGGUAACCUCCCGGGAAGUCCCGGUGCUGCACCCUC